AAGUCCCCCACCUCUACUGUGAGAGAUGAACUUCAAUCAAAAAUUGUGAGAUAUCUGAAAUAUAUUUUGCGACAAUUGUUCUAGUCAUUCAUCCAGUCCACACAUUCUCGAAAAAGCAAUGGGCAGCAACACAUCCAAGGGAGUCGAAGUCGCCCAAGCGGCGGCGGCAGCGGGACCAACUGUUCCAUCCGCCACUCAAGGUUCUGCAGCCGGCGAGAAACCAAAAUGCAAGGCCUGCUGCGCCUGUCCCGAGACUAAGCGAGCACGUGAUCAAUGUAUUGUGGAACAAGGAGAGGAGAACUGCACGACAUUGAUUGAGGCGCACAAGAAAUGCAUGCGUGAUGCUGGAUUCAACAUCUAAAUGAAUCAAGUGUCUAAUGGCAAAGCCGCCCAUUGUUAAGAACUGUUUUCUUUUUCUUGUUGUAUCUCAUACUAUAGAUAUAGUCUUAAAUUAAAAAACCAACCAAAAUAGAAAAACACAAAUUGUUAAACAAAACGGAUAUAUGUAGUAUGUUUAAUGCACUACAACAAGCUAAAUGAAACUUAGCGUGCGCAAUGCCACCACAGCGGCCAUAUAAAAGGUAAUGCACAGCAUCGUAGCGAAGGCCAAAAUUCUCGAGGGCUGUGGCACCGGAUACACUGCAUAGACCAAUGUAUGCAGAAUGCGUGCUACGGAGGCAACACGAAACAGAUUGCAGGCAAUUGCCUGGCUAGGAUUGGAGGAAGGUAUAGAUUGCGGGAGUUACCUGCGUACACGCUCUACAUGGGGAUCAUCAAACUUGACUUCAAGAUUCUUAAAGAAUAAAUCCUCCUCAUUGGGGAAAAUCUAGAAAAUAAUUAAUUGAGAUAGUAUAAAUCUGUUUAAAAAAACAUGUAAUGCCUUCAUGCACUUAGAAAUUUAAUCAAUAUGUAUUCAAGUUUUUUUUUUUUAAUUCGUAUUACAAUUUAUAAAUGUACCAAUAAUAUUAUCAUUUUAGUUUAUGUGACAGUUUAUCUAAUUUCAUUUAUCAACUGAGAUAUAGAUAUUAUUAAUUUUCAAUUGGGGCAUAUUGAAAUUUACCAUAAUAACUUGUUUUCUAUGCACCCUUGAUUUAGACGUUAAGUAUGUAAAUGGAAUUUCUGUUACUGCGUAUUAUGUUUUUGUGUUUUAAUGGAAAGAAAACACUUGAUUAUCUAAUUUGUA